UCCCAUUUAGCUCCCCCUGAAGGCCUCCCAGUGACUCCCAGUGACUCCCAGUUGACUCCCAGUGACUCCCAGUGGCCACCCAGUGCCGCCCAGUUCCCCCUGAAGGCCUCCCAGUGACUCCCAGUGACUCCCAGUGUGCCCCAGAGGCCUCCAGGAUCCCCC